rnacentral:misc_RNA from 1 species
AAUAGACGAAAAAUACAGGUACGAUUUAGUUUUCCUCUGGUUUUAUUUUCAUGCAUAUAUAUUUGUUUACUGUAUCACAUCUUUGGUGCAAGUCAAUUUUAUCCGGCACUAGCGUGAAAGAGUUAAUGUGAUAUAUUGUUGGAAAUUAAUGGCUGGUGAAAAUUUGUCUCUUUUCAUUCAAUAAUUUAUAUCCCUUCUUUUAUUUUCACUUGAUUUCAUUGUUAUUAUUAAAUGGCUAAAGAAAUAAUGGAUUGGCUAAGUAAAGGUGGCGCUUUUCCAGAUGACUAAGUUGCUGAU